UACGUAGGGGGCAAGCGUUGUCCGGAUUUAUUGGGCGUAAAGAGCGUGUAGGCGGCCAAGCAGGUCCGCUGUGAAAACUCGAGGCUCAACCUCGAGAUGUCGGCGGAAACCAUCUGGCUAGAGUCCGGAAGAGGAAAGUGGAAUUCCUGGUGUAGCGGUGAAAUGCGCAGAUAUCAGGAAGAACACCAAUGGCGAAAGCAGCUCUCUGGGACGGUACUGACGUUGAGACGCGAAAGCGUGGGGAGCGAACAGG
rnacentral:rRNA from 1 species